rnacentral:rRNA from 1 species
CGUCGACCGGCGGAUGGGUGAGUAACGCGUAUCCAACCUGCCCCUGUCCCGGGCACAGCCCUUGGAAACGAGGAUUAACGCCCGGCGCUGCCAUUUGGCCGCAUGGCUGUUUGGCGAAAUGCAAAGGAGAGGGAUGGGGAUGCGUCCGAUUAGCUUGUUGGCGGGGUAACGGCCCACCAAGGCGACGAUCGGUAGGGGUUCUGAGAGGAAGGCCCCCCACAUUGGGACUGAGACACGGCCCAAACUCCUACGGGAGGCAGCACUGAGGAAUAUUGGCCAAUGGCCGGGAGGCUGAACCAUCCAAAUAGCGUGCAGGACGACGGCCCUAUGGGUUGUAAACUGCUUUUAUGCGGGGAUAAAGAGGGGGACGUGUCCCCCGUUGCAGGUACCGCAUGAAUAAGGACCGGCUAAUUCCGUGCCAGCAGUCGCGGUAAUACGGAAGGUCCGGGCGUUAUCCGGAUUUAUUGGGUUUAAAGGGAGCGCAGGCGGGAGCGCAAGUCAGCCGUCAAAUGUCCCGGCUCAACCGGGUCGUGCGGUUGAAACUGCGCUUCUUGGGUGCACAAGAGGCAGGCGGAACUCGUGGUGUAGCGGUGAAAUGCAUAGAUAUCACGAAGAACCCCGAUUGCGAAGGCAGCCUGCUGGGGUGCUACCGACGCUCAUGCUCGGAGGCGCGGGUAUCAAACAGGAUUAGAUACCCUGGUAGUCCGCGCAGUAAACGAUGGAUGCCCGCGGUGUGGCCGUUUUGGCUGCGCCGCCAAGCGAAAGCGUUAAGCAUCCCACCUGGGGAGUACGCCGGCAACGGUGAAACUCAAAGGAAUUGACGGGGGCCCGCACAAGCGGAGGAACAUGUGGUUUAAUUCGAUGAUACGCGAGGAACCUUACCCGGGCUUGAAAGGUUGCGGACGGGAGGCAGAGACGCAUCUCUCC